CCUACGGGCGGCAGCAGUAGGGAAUAUUGCUCAAUGGGGGAAACGCUGAAGCAGCAACGCCGCGUGGAGGAUGAAGGUUUUCGGAUUGUAAACUCCUUUUGUUAGAGAAGAUAAUGACGGUAUCUAACGAAUAAGCACCGGCUAACUCCGUGCCAGCAGCCGCGGUAAUACGGAGGGUGCCAGCGUUACUCGGAAUCACUGGGCGUAAAGAGGGCGUAGGCGGGAUAGCAAGUCAGAUGUGAAAUCCUAUGGCUUAACCAUAGAACUGCAGUUGAAACUGUUAUUCUAGAGUAUGGGAGAGGUAGGUGGAAUUCUUGGUGUAGGGGUAAAAUCCGUAGAGAUCAAGAGGAAUACUGAUUGCGAAGGCGACCUGCUAGAACAUAACUGACGCUGAUGCGCGAAAGCGUGGGGAGCAAACAGGAUUAGAUACCCGGGUAGUC
rnacentral:rRNA from 1 species